rnacentral:rRNA from 1 species
UACGUAGGGCGCAAGCGUUGUCCGGAAUUAUUGGGCGUAAAGAGCUCGUAGGCGGCUUGUCGCGUCGAAUGUGAAAUCUCAGGGCUCAACUCUGACAUUGCAUUCGAUACGGGCAGGCUAGAGUUCGGUAGGGGAGACUGGAAUUCCUGGUGUAGCGGUGAAAUGCGCAGAUAUCAGGAGGAACACCGGUGGCGAAGGCGGGUCUCGUGGGCCGAUGACUGACGCUGAGGAGCGAAAGCGUGGGGAGCGAACAGG